rnacentral:rRNA from 1 species
GGCGAACGGGUGAGUAACACGUGAGCAACCUGCCCCUGACUCUGGGAUAAGCGCUGGAAACGGCGUCUAAUACUGGAUAUGUGACGUGACCGCAUGGUCUGCGUUUGGAAAGAUUUUUCGGUUGGGGAUGGGCUCGCGGCCUAUCAGCUUGUUGGUGAGGUAAUGGCUCACCAAGGCGUCGACGGGUAGCCGGCCUGAGAGGGUGACCGGCCACACUGGGACUGAGACACGGCCCAGACUCCUACGGGAGGCAGCAGUGGGGAAUAUUGCACAAUGGGCGAAAGCCUGAUGCAGCAACGCCGCGUGAGGGAUGACGGCCUUCGGGUUGUAAACCUCUUUUAGCAGGGAAGAAGCGAAAGUGACGGUACCUGCAGAAAAAGCGCCGGCUAACUACGUGCCAGCAGCCGCGGUAAUACGUAGGGCGCAAGCGUUAUCCGGAAUUAUUGGGCGUAAAGAGCUCGUAGGCGGUUUGUCGCGUCUGCUGUGAAAUCCCGAGGCUCAACCUCGGGCCUGCAGUGGGUACGGGCAGACUAGAGUGCGGUAGGGGAGAUUGGAAUUCCUGGUGUAGCGGUGGAAUGCGCAGAUAUCAGGAGGAACACCGAUGGCGAAGGCAGAUCUCUGGGCCGUAACUGACGCUGAGGAGCGAAAGGGUGGGGAGCAAACAGGCUUAGAUACCCUGGUAGUCCACCCCGUAAACGUUGGGAACUAGUUGUGGGGUCCAUUCCACGGAUUCCGUGACGCAGCUAACGCAUUAAGUUCCCCGCCUGGGGAGUACGGCCGCAAGGCUAAAACUCAAAGGAAUUGACGGGGACCCGCACAAGCGGCGGAGCAUGCGGAUUAAUUCGAUGCAACGCGAAGAACCUUACCAAGGCUUGACAUAUACGAGAACGGGCCAGAAAUGGUCAACUCUUUGGACACUCGUAAACAGGUGGUGCAUGGUUGUCGUCAGCUCGUGUCGUGAGAUGUUGGGUUAAGUCCCGCAACGAGCGCAACCCUCGUUCUAUGUUGCCAGCACGUAAUGGUGGGAACUCAUGGGAUACUGCCGGGGUCAACUCGGAGGAAGGUGGGGAUGACGUCAAAUCAUCAUGCCCCUUAUGUCUUGGGCUUCACGCAUGCUACAAUGGCCGGUACAAAGGGCUGCAAUACCGUGAGGUGGAGCGAAUCCCAAAAAGCCGGUCCCAGUUCGGAUUGAGGUCUGCAACUCGACCUCAUGAAGUCGGAGUCGCUAGUAAUCGCAGAUCAGCAACGCUGCGGUGAAUACGUUCCCGGGUCUUGUACACACCGCCCGUCAAGUCAUGAAAGUCGG